UGGGGAAUUUUGGACAAUGGACGCAAGUCUGAUCCAGCCAUGCCGCGUGCGGGAAGAAGGCCUUCGGGUUGUAAACCGCUUUUGUCAGGGAAGAAACGAGUUUCUCUAAUACAGAGACUUAAUGACGGUACCUGAAGAAUAAGCACCGGCUAACUACGUGCCAGCAGCCGCGGUAAUACGUAGGGUGCAAGCGUUAAUCGGAAUUACUGGGCGUAAAGCGCGCGCAGGCGGUUAUGCAAGUCAGAGGUGAAAUCCCCGGGCUCAACGUGGGAACUGCCUUUGUGACUGCAUAGAUAGAGUACGGUAGAGGGGGAUGGAAUUCCGAGUGUAGCAGUGAAAUGCGUAGAUAUGCGGAGGAACACCAAUGGCGAAGGCAAUCCACUGGACCUGUACUGACGCUCAUGCACGAAAGCGUGGGGAGCAAAUA
rnacentral:rRNA from 1 species